rnacentral:misc_RNA from 1 species
CUGCCCUCAAGCACGGCUUGUGUGUUGGGUGUGGUCCCCCCGGUUUCGGGGGGACCUGCCCGAAAGGCAGCGGCGACGCCCCGCCUAGGUCCUCGAGCGUAUGGGGCUUUGUCACCCGCUCGGGAGGGGCCUGCGGGCGUUGGUCAUCCACAUCUUUUUUUACGG